GGACAAGGGGAAUCCAACUGUUUAAUUAAAACAAAGCAUUGCGAUGGUCCCUACGAAUGCUGACGCAAUGUGAUUUCUUCCCAGUGCUCUGAAUGUCAAAGUGAAGAAAUUCAACCAAGUGUUGGUAAAUGAUGAGAGUAACUAUGACUCUAUUAAGGUAGCCAAAUGCCUCAUCAUCUAAUUAGUGACGCGCAUGAAUGGAUUAACGAGAUUCCA
rnacentral:ncRNA from 1 species